rnacentral:tRNA from 1 species
GGUGGCUCAGUGGUAGAGCACUUGCCUUGCAUGCAUGAGGCCCUGGGUUCCUCAGUACCA